UACAGAGGUGGCAAGCGUUGUUCGGAAUUACUGGGCGUAAAGGGCGCGUAGGCGGCUUUCUAAGUCAGACGUGAAAUCCCCCGGCUUAACCUGGGAACUGCGUCUGAUACUGGGAGGCUUGAAUGCGGGAGAGGGAUGUAGAAUUCCAGGUGUAGCGGUGAAAUGCGUAGAUAUCUGGAGGAACACCGGUGGCGAAGGCGACAUCCUGGACCGGUAUUGACGCUGAGGCGCGAAAGCCAGGGGAGCAAACGGG
rnacentral:rRNA from 1 species